ACUCGGUUAUUUAAAUUGGAAAAAAAUUUAAAAAUUACCAAAAAAAAAAAAAAAGCUGCCCUAAAUUGACGGAGAUGAAUGUAGCCACUGUCAUAGGUAAUUUAAUUUAUAUCUACAAGCAACGAUUAGCCAUUGCUAACGAAAAACGAUUCUGUGCGGAGUUCGGUUGAUAGUGUUGCUUUGCUAACAAUACGUGUAUUGUAU